rnacentral:rRNA from 1 species
CGGGACGGGUGAGUAAUGUCUGGGAAACUGCCUGAUGGAGGGGGGUAACUACUGGAAACGGUAGCUAAUACCGCAUAACGUCGCAAGACCAAAGAGGGGGACCUUCGGGCCUCUUGCCAUCGGAUGUGCCCAGAUGGGAUUAGCUAGUAGGUGGGGUAACGGCUCACCUAGGCGACGAUCCCUAGCUGGUCUGAGAGGAUGGCCAGCCACACUGGAACUGAGACACGGUCCAG